CAAAUCUAUUACGGCUCCCCUCUCUCUUUCUCAAGCUCACCGCCUCGUCUCCUCCGUUAAGGAAGACAAGUACAGCUAAGGCUCUAUAAGGUGGCGAGCUAGAACUAAAGAGAAGGGAAAGAGAAACUAGGGACCGACGGCGCCAGCCAACAAGAACAGAGAGCGGGAGGGGCCACGUACAACGCCGGUACAACAUCAGGCGGUAAAACGAGGGGAAGAUGAACGGACUCUACCCACUAAACAAGACAUUCAGUAGCCCACAAGAUCCAGUAGACCAUCAACACCAGCAAAAGCGGGGACGACUAAACAAAGGAGACGACAUCUACAUCUCCAUCCGCUUCAACAUCAACAUCACCACCUAAGGGGACAGGUAAAAUAAAGACGUCCGGACCCACAGAUAAGGCGGACAUAAAAAUAGCCAUCUACAUCAACAUAUACCGAACCGGACCCUAAGACGACCGAAUACGUUACACCUACAUCAUCGAUUAAACACAUAGGAAGGAGACUUAAACAAACGGGAAGGAUCAAACUAAAACCGGGCCGGGAAACACUGCAUCUACAUCCACGAUAAACAAAUUCAAAGGACGAGAUAAUACCAAAGACUUAACAACCGAGGAAUACACAGAAUGGACGUGUACAAACGAGAACAUCAAAGACUUAGGGAGUACUUAAAAAGAACAAUCUACAUCCACAAGUCAAAGGGACCAAGCACUUAGAGUUACUUAAACACACAUGAUCCGGACGUCACGACUACAUCACAAUCAGGUACCUAAAAAGAAUAAAAACAGUCACGUUAUAUGGAGUCUUAAUGUCACAUUACAUAGGGUAUUAACCUCACACUAGGGGUACGAAGAAAUAAGAUUAAUGUCACAUUACAUGGGAUUUUAAUAUCACAUAAGAUCGGGUCUACCGUGACAUAUACGGAUGUUAACGUAAAAGCAAAUGAUUGGGGUCUAAAUGUCACAUUAUAUGGGGUCUAAAAGUGACAUAAAACAUACGAAGUCCUGACAUUAAUAACGUACCAAGGGGCAAAAUGUGACAUUAAACGUACCAUGUCGUGACAUUAACAACAUCCCGAAAGUCAAAAACAGUCUAUCUGAUGAAAGUUUACAAAGUAGUGACAUUAUAUGGGAUCUAAAAGAGACAUUAAAUAUACGAAGUCUUGACAUUAACAAUAUACGAAGUCUAUCUAAUGUAACCGAAGAAGCAGACCCGAAUGUGACAUCAUACGGUAUCAAAAUGUGAUAUUAAACAUACCAAGCUGUAACAUAAACAACAUCCAUAAACGCUCCAUCUAAUGUCACCUAAAAUGGAAACUUAACCUCCCGAAUGUGACAUUAAAUGACGUCUAAAUGUGACAUUAAACUUACGAAGUUGUAACAUUAACAACAUGCCGAAUGUUGCAUAAACAGUGUCAACUAAAUGGAGACUAAAACGACACAUUAAUCGUACGAAAAUCCUGACGUUAAGUACAUAAAAGAACGAAAAAAUAAAAGAAGAAAAGAACACGAUCACACAGAGGUAACGUCAUCAUAACUCGUCUCCAGGACAAAAUCCAACUACUAACAAAAACACAAGAAAGAUCUAAACAGAUCAUUUAUCACAAUGUAAUCGACAAGUACACAUAAGAAAUUACUUCACAUACCUCUAAAACAAGAUGAUAAAAUGAAGAAAAGAAAAAGGAGGAAGUACAUAAGACAAAUAUAUAAAAUGAAAUUACUCAUCCGAUGUCUUUCAGAGAGUAGACCUGCAAACCAAUCAUAGUAGAGAACUGUUACGUCUAAGACACCCACUUGGAUAACACGGAUUGCUGAAACGCCUUCUACCAAGAAUAGGAUACAGAUGCCUUGAUAGACCACUACUUCCUCCCAAACUGUUUAGAGAAAACUUCAAGAUAAACUUAGUUCACACAAAAGGAAAAGAACAUGAUAAAACUAAAACAAAACACAUAAAAGAAACCCACCGGGAACACAAAAACAGUAAAGUCUUGCAUUUUACGAACUUUCCUUUAAUAGUAGACGAAGGUACAAGUAUCCGGGUAGAGGACUCACAUGGACGUUCGUUUUCCCGUUAAACAAAAGAUAUCAACACGAAAAGAGUCUAACCAUCGAGACACCAUAAACUUAAAACGAAAAUGACUUAUAUUAUAGCCUUACAUCUUCACGCCACUAUCUUUUACACAGGACGCUG
rnacentral:rRNA from 1 species